AGAAACCAUUUGGGAACUGUAAUUUCCAGCUCCUGUGGUCAUAUUUAGGAUGCUUUGGCCAGAGUCUGCUGAUGUUUAUCCAUUCUCUGUGUGAGAGCAUCUUUUGCUUGCUGGCAGCAAUGUCGCAGAUUAUAGACUUUAAUGAUUUGUUGAUCGGUCAAGGGCUCAAGCCAGAGUCUGCUGAAGUUUAUCCAUUCCCUGUGUGAGAGCAUCUUCUGCCUGCUGGCAACAGUGUCGCAGAUUACAGACUUUAAUGAUUUGCUGAUCGGUCAAAGGCUCGAGUUGUGGCAUCACCACCUGUUAAGUUGAUAUACAAUUAGAAAUCUCGCGUUCAUUAAAUGUUCUGCAUGCAGACCGCCAAGGAAAGAAAAACAUAAUCAUGAUUUGAGUACUAAUUUCAGAUUUGUAGUUCUUAGUCUAGCAGCGCGUAAAUUUGGAUGAGGCUAUCAAGAAAUUUAUACUGUAGAGUAUCAGCAUUUACGAACAGUGCUUAUUUGAUCAUGUACCAUUAGUUUGAAAAGUGAACAGAUAUGUGAUGGCAAUGAAACAAUAAGGCUAC
rnacentral:lncRNA from 1 species